rnacentral:rRNA from 1 species
UACGUAGGGUGCGAGCGUUAAUCGGAAUUACUGGGCGUAAAGCGUGCGCAGGCGGUGAGCUGUGUCCCGAUGUGAAAGCCCCGGGCUUAACCUGGGAAUGGCAUUGGAAACUGGCUCGCUGGAGUGGUGGCAGAGGGGGGUGGAAUUCCGCGUGUAGCAGUGAAAUGCGUAGAGAUGCGGAGGAACACCGAUGGCGAAGGCAGCCCCCUGGGCUAACACUGACGCUCAGGCACGAAAGCGUGGGGAGCAAACAGG